UACGAAGGGGGCUAGCGUUGCUCGGAAUCACUGGGCGUAAAGCGCACGUAGGCGGAUCGUUAAGUCGGGGGUGAAAUCCUGGAGCUCAACUCCAGAACUGCCCUUGAUACUGGCGAUCUUGAGUCCGGGAGAGGUGAGUGGAACUCCGAGUGUAGAGGUGAAAUUCGUAGAUAUUGGGAAGAACACCAGUGGCGAAGGCGGCUAACUGGUCCGAUACUGACGCUGAGGUGCGAAAGCGUGGGGAGCAAACAGG
rnacentral:rRNA from 1 species